rnacentral:rRNA from 1 species
UGGGGAAUAUUGCACAAUGGGGGAAACCCUGAUGCAGCGACGCCGCGUGAGUGAAGAAGUAUUUCGGUAUGUAAAGCUCUAUCAGCAGGGAAGAAAACAAUGACGGUACCUGACUAAGAAGCCCCGGCUAACUACGUGCCAGCAGCCGCGGUAAUACGUAGGGGGCAAGCGUUAUCCGGAUUUACUGGGUGUAAAGGGAACGUAGACGGUAGACCAAGUCUGAAGUGAAAGCCCGGGGCUCAACCCCGGAACUGCAUUGGAAACUGUCGUACUAGAGUGUCGGAGGGGUAAGUGGAAUUCCUAGUGUAGCGGUGAAAUGCGUAGAUAUUAGGAGGAACACCAGCGGCGAAGGCGGCUUACUGGACGAUAACUGACGCUGAGGCUCGAAAGCGUGGGGAGCAAACAGGAUUAGAUACCCUGGUAGU